UCAAUGCAUCACGGGAGCUUUCGGGCUGAGAGGGCAUAAGGUGCCGACCGUAACACCUGAUUCGGGUAAUGCCGACGGAGGGAGAACUAUGACAAUAAAA
rnacentral:ncRNA from 2 species